rnacentral:rRNA from 1 species
GACGACGCUGGCGGCGUGCCUAAUACAUGCAAGUAGAACGAGUUGCGAACGGGUGAGUAAUGUCUGGGAAACUGCCUGAUGGAGGGGGAUAACUACUGGAAACGGUAGCUAAUACCGCAUACCAUCAGAUGUGCCCAGAUGGGAUUAGCUAGUAGGUGAGGUAACGGCUCACCUAGGCGACGAUCCCUAGGUGGUCUGAGAGGAUGACCAGCCGCACUGGAACAGGUGUACGGUCCAGACUCCUUCGGGAGGCAGCAGAGGGGAAUAUAGCACAAUGGGCUCAAGCCUAGUGCAGCCGUGGCUCGUGUAUGAAGAAGGCCUUCGUGUUGUAAAGUACUUUCAGCGGUGAGGCGUUACCCGCAUAAGAAGCACCGGCUAACUCCGUGCCAGCAGCCGCGGUAAUAC